rnacentral:rRNA from 1 species
AGAGUUUGAUCAUGGCUCAGAUUGAACGCUGGCGGUAUGCUUAACACAUGCAAGUCGAACGGAAACGAUGGAAGCUUGCUUCCAGGCGUCGAGUGGCGGACGGGUGAGUAACGCGUAGGAAUCUGCCCAGUAGUGGGGGACAACCAGAGGAAACUCUGGCUAAUACCGCAUAAUCCCUACGGGGAAAAGGAGGCCUCUUCUUGAAAGCUUUCGCUAUUGGAUGAGCCUGCGUGAGAUUAGCUAGUUGGUAGGGUAAAGGCCUACCAAGGCGACGAUCUCUAGCUGGUCUGAGAGGACGAUCAGCCACACUGGGACUGAGACACGGCCCAGACUCCUACGGGAGGCAGCAGUGGGGAAUAUUGGACAAUGGGCGCAAGCCUGAUCCAGCAAUACCGCGUGUGUGAAGAAGGCCCUAGGGUUGUAAAGCACUUUCAGCAGUGAAGAAAUGCUUAAGGUUAAUAACCUUGAGUCUUGACGUUAACUGCACAAGAAGCACCGGUUAACUCCGUGCCAGUAGUUGCGGUAAUACGGGGGGUGCAAGCGUUAAUCGGAUUUACUGGGCGUAAAGCGCGCGUAGGUGGUUUAGCAAGUUGGAUGUGAAAGCCCCGGGUUUAACCUGGGAAUUGCAUCCAAAACGCUAAGAUUAGAGUGUAGUAGAGGGAAGUGGAAUUCCGGGUGUAGCGGUGAAAUGCGUAGAUAUCCGGAGGAAUAUUAGUGGUGAAGGUGGCUUCCUGGACUAACACUGACGCUGAGGUGCGAAAGCGUGGGGAGCAAACAGGAUUAGAUAUCCUGGUAGUCCACGCCGUAAACGAUGUCAACUAGCGUUGGGAGUCUUAGUAUUCUUAGUGGCGAAGCUAACGCGAUAAGUUGACCGCCUGGGGAGUACGGUCGCAAGAUUAAAACUCAAAUGAAUUGACGGGGGCCCGCACAAGCGGUGGAGCAUGUGGUUUAAUUCGAAGCAACGCGAAGAACCUUACCAGGUCUUGACAUUCAGAAAACUUACUAGAGAUAGUUUGGUGCCUUCGGGAACUCUGGGACAGGUGCUGCAUGGCUGUUGUCAGCUCGUGUCGUGAGAUGUUGGGUUAAGUCCCGUAACGAGCGCAACCCUUAUCCUUAUUUGCCAGCACGUAAUGGUGGGAACUCUAAGGAGACUGCCGGUGAUAAACCGGAGGAAGGUGGGGACGACGUCAAGUCCUCAUGGCCCUUAUAUCCAGGGCUACACACGUGCUACAAUGGUAAAUACAGAGGGCAGCGAGCCAGUGAUGGUUAGCGAAUCCCUAAAGUUUAUCUCAGUCCGGAUUGGAGUCUGCAACUCGACUCCAUGAAGUUGGAAUCGCUAGUAAUCGCGGAUCAGCAUGCCGCGGUGAAUAUGUUCCCGGGCCUUGUACACACCGCCCGUCACACCAUGGGAGUUGAUUAUACCCGACGUCGCUAGGCUAACAGCUUGCUGAGGGGAGCGCCUACGGUCGGACCGAUGACUGGGGUGAAGUCGUAACAAGGUAACC